GACGAACGCUGGCGGCGUGCUUAACACAUGCAAGUCGAACGAAGAGCGAUGGAAGCUUGCUUCUAUCAAUCUUAGUGGCGCACGGGUGAGUAACGCGUAAUCAACCUGCCCUUCAGAGGGGGACAACAGUUGGAAACGACUGCUAAUACCGCAUACGAUCUAAUCUCGGCAUCGAGGAUAGAUGAAAGGUGGCCUCUACAUGUAAGCUAUCACUGAAGGAGGGGAUUGCGUCUGAUUAGCUAGUUGGAGGGGUAACGGCCCACCAAGGCGAUGAUCAGUAGCCGGUCUGGAAGGAUGAACGGCCACAUUGGGACUGGGACACGGCCCAGACUCCUACGGGAGGCAGCAGUGGGGAAUCUUCCGCAAUAGACGAAAGUCUGACGGAGCAACGCCGCGUGAGUGAUGACGGCCUUCGGGUUGUAAAGCUCUGUUAAUCGGGACGAAAGGCCUUCUUGCGAAUAGUGAGAAGGAUUGACGGUACCGGAAGAGAAAGCCACGGCUAACUACGUG
rnacentral:rRNA from 1 species